CGCCAGGUGGGUGGUACAGUCAAGAGACACACGUCGCGCGGCGCCCGGAGUCGCUCGGCGUGCUUCCCCAGUGCCUGUCCUUCCCCAAGCAGGGGACUCAGGAGACCACGCAGCGGCAGCCGAGCCUCGGACGGUCAGGCCCCAGGUGGCUGCGGAGUCUGAGCUCCUGUCCGUGGACUAUACUCAGAAGAAGUGGAAAGGGCCAGCGCUCAGCCAGAGAGCCCUGUACCGGAAGAACGCCAUGCCGGAAAACUACCGCAGCCUGGCCUCCCUGGGUAAUGAUUCUGUUCCCCAGUAGCUUAGAGCCUGCCUUCUUUACAUGUUCUUUGCUGUAUUUUUCUGUUUUGACUUUAUAUUAUGAAAACAUAAGCAAACACAGAGAAAGUGGAGAGAAGAGUAAAGUGAACCUCCCUGCACCGUCACCCACUUUAAUGGUUAUUAACAUUCUCUUUACUUCAUUAUUAAUUGACCUGGGAAAAGAGAGCCAUUCAGUUGUUGUAAGUAAUGAGCUAAGGUACUUAGGAUAAAGCUAAAGGAAUGGAAACCCUGAACAAAGCGACCACCUAGACUAGACUUCCGGAAACAAAGCCUUGCAGGGACCGAGGAGCCAGGGAGCCUCAGCAGCAGAAGUGAGAGGGUUUUCCCGGCAGUGUGAUUAAGACAGCUGCGCCCUGCAUAUCUGUUUUCUCCUCCCGCUGACACCCAUUCUCUUCACUCUGAAUCUUUUGUCCCACUCAGAGCUCCUCUUAGUUAGCCUUUCUGUUCCUUCAGAUGCUCUGCUUGCUGAGGCUCCUACUGGCUUGCCUUCUCUCUGUGCAUCAUUUCAGCUUUGGUUCCUACUUGUAGUUUCCUUCAUCUUGUCCUACUUUGAGUUCAGAAUUUAUAUACAGAGAGACUCCAAGGGUGGCUUAGCCAUUAAAUAUUAUCCUUGUUUGGGCAGAACUUUGGCCCAGGCCGUGCAGAGGCCGAUGACAGAUAAGCUGCCCUUGGGCCUCGUGCUGGGCCCUGGUCCAGGCACCU